rnacentral:rRNA from 1 species
UACAGAGGGUGCAAGCGUUAAUCGGAAUUACUGGGCGUAAAGCGCGCGUAGGUGGUUUGUUAAGUUGGAUGUGAAAUCCCCGGGCUCAACCUGGGAACUGCAUCCAAAACUGGCAAGCUAGAGUAUGGUAGAGGGUGGUGGAAUUUCCUGUGUAGCGGUGAAAUGCGUAGAUAUAGGAAGGAACACCAGUGGCGAAGGCGACCACCUGGACUGAUACUGACGCUCAGGCACGAAAGCGUGGGGAGCAAACAGG